rnacentral:rRNA from 1 species
CAGUAGCCGCGGGAAUACGUAGGUCCCGAGCGUUGUCCGGAAUUAUUGGGCGUAAAGCGCGCGCAGGCGGAUCAGUUAGUCUGUCUUAAAAGUUCGGGGCUUAACCCCGUGAUGGGAUGGAAACUGCUGAUCUAGAGUAUCGGAGAGGAAAGUGGAAUUCCUAGUGUAGCGGUGAAAUGCGUAGAUAUUAGGAAGAACACCAGUGGCGAAGGCGACUUUCUGGACGAAAACUGACGCUGAGGCGCGAAAGCGUGGGGAGCGAACAGGAUUAGAUACCCCCGUAGUCCCUGUCUCUUAUACA